GUGCGCUGUAUAGUAAACCUGGUCCGCUAUACAGCGCACCACUUCCGAAAUUAGGUCCGACGCACGGAUUUGGAGAAAAAUCCAACUUCCCUAGUCGAAAAUUCCGGGUUUCAACUGCACGGACAAUAUAACACCCAGUGACCCAGUGGAGAAAUUUCCGUUCGACGAAAAGUUUUCCCCGGCUGGAGAAGGAAUCGAACCCACACUCCGAGGCUUACGAGACACCUAAACGACUAACGCGGCUAACCGCUCGGCCACGGAGCCACACAAUGGAUGAUGGUGAUGGAUUUUAUAUUUGUUUACGUAGUAUUACUAACUGAACUUAUUUUGUGUAGUCUGCAAAAGUUUGAGUCUCGCACGUGGUGACAGGUGACUAUAAAUUACUUUUUUCUGUAUUUAUUUAUCAUAUGGAAUAUAUGUACUGUUGAAGGAUUCUGUAGAUUAGUAGUGAGUUGUCUAGUUGAAUGUCAGGAAUUUCUUGAGAAUGAGAAUAUUGCCAGCUGUAUUUGACAUCGCGCGAACGUUAUUAAUCAUCACAAUACUUUUGAUUUUCUGAUCUUUCAUGAUUACUAGUAAUGCCUUGUGCGCAACCGACUUACAGUGGAUUUGGUUCGGUCUGGUGAAUGUGAUUAGGAAAAAUAGUGAUCAGCGCCAUCGAUAUAAUAAGUGGAUGCUCCGAUUCCCGUAUUUUUAUUAACAUGCUCAAUUGACUCACAGAUUGUUGCUGUAAGUUGGUAAGAAGUUAGAAAACUAAAGGCGAUGAGGAAAAUCUGAAGUGUUCAUCAUCUGGACCUAAAUUAAAAUAUUUCGCUGUUUCCAUGGAAUGGUUUACUCUUGUUGAAUAAACUUUUAUUUUUGUGUGUUCUGCCAAACAGAAAUUUUGAAUUUACUCCACGAAGAGUUGUUAGAAUCACUGGAUUUUUACAUGGCAGGAAGAUUAUCUUCUUUAUCUAAUAUGGUUGAGAAAACUCAAUUUUCAAAAAAUGGUCUUUGGUUCGGUUUAGCAGAACCCCGACCAUAUAUUCAUGAUGCACACUCAAAACAAUCCAAACGUCAUUGCUACGUGAAAAAUCACGUACCAUCGAAAAAUUGUUCAUUUGCUUCAUUUUACCUGACGCACAUAACCCUCACCAAGGCAAUCAUAAAUAUCAAAUGAUGUGCCUGUUACCAUAACGAAAUUGCCCGGUACUCCUUAAGCUUAAAUGAAAGUCACAUACCCACUCCAGUUCAUUUCCAUAACUUCAUUUUGCAUUCACUCAAUGCCGCACUGAACUAGCUUUCAAAAUAUCAAGAUGGCGGAAUUGAAAACAAAUCUCAGCAGUACUUUUAAUUUCGUUUGUUUCUCAGCAUUUUCAUUACAUUAUGGAUAAUUAUCGGGUUCCGGAAAGCUGUCAUGCCAUCGAAGAAAUAACCUCCCGCGGAAGGGCUUAUCAAGAAAUGGACGGAUGAAGAAAGUUAUAAUCAACUAAAAUUUGAGCUGAGCAGCACCUAAUUUCACUUUAUUAAUUAUCAUUUAGCUGAGCGGGAGUGAAUUUUAAGCAAACCCGUUUAAGUGUGCUCCUUUGUGUGAAAUUCUACUAAAUAAAUGAAUAUCCUUGCAUGAUUACGUCCAGGAUUACGUUUGCAUUACUGUACUUUUGUAUACUUUCAAUCCGGUCGAUCCGUCCACGAUACUGCUGGCCAAUAGAGCACUUGCUGGCUUUGUUUAGCAGACCAAUUUGAUUAUGCUGGGAAUUGGUUUGUAACGGAUAACACGUUACGAGGCGUUUCCCCGCGAAAUCAGAUGGGACUAUUGGGUACAGUAAACAAACCAGCAAUUGCGCUAUGUUGGAAUGCAGUGUUUCUGACAUAUUUCAUUAAUAAAAAUAAUAGGACGCUAUGUAAGAGCUACAGGCGAGCUCUGUAACAGGUACAGAAAAAGUUAGUAGCUGCUACGUGGAAAAUCACGUAUUAUGAGAAAGGUCAAUGGAAUGAUUGUUCAUGGAUGAAUACUGAGUUCAUCCCUUGACACUUGUGUUUCACGUACUGCCCAUAACUGCAUAACAGUCACUUUCGACAUAAGUAGGCAUUGGAGAAAAUGGAGCUUAAAGUUUGCAACUUGCGUUAGUAUGGAAAAGGAUUGAAAUUUAAAAAAUAUGCCAAAAAUUCAAAAUUAAUCCUUUUGCAAUGAAAUCUCCUAAUGCUCUUCUUCUAUACUGGGCGAAGAGUUGUAAAAAUAAAUAGACUAAAAUAUGAUUGGCGGUACGCGGGGCCGGGUCACAACGUCCGAGGCCAUACAGUCCCGGACAUUAAGUCGCGUUUUUUUGCGAAAUAGCGUCCAAAAGUUUGGAUGCGUCAUAACAUCCUAUGUGCCUUCUUUCCUUGGACUUCGUGGCGUAUCUGCAAGUUCGGACGUUAUGCCCCGAAAAAAUGCGCCAUAAAGUCCUGGGACUUUAUGGCCUCGGACGUUAUGAUACUGCGCCGCGGUACGCUAUGAAGCCAGUGUGUAUUCUCAGCGUGACUGUUAUGCUGUUACAUUCAUGAAUAUUUAAUAAUGAGACAAAAUGACUUGGUAUUUAUUUCACAUUUUGUAGAACAAACUUAUCAAGUUCAUUUGGGUGCAUGAAAGUACUGAUCCCCGGAAAUAACUCAAUAUUGACAAAAACUGUAAAUGUUACAGAUAUGCAGUUAUGGGCAGCGUAGGUACUACGUGAAAAGUGCGAUGGAAAAAAAACCACGUAUGUUUUCACGUAACAAUGACGUUUGGUUUUUUUUCAGUGUACAUCUGGCCAACGUGCCUCUUCAUGUGACUCUUUCACUCAAGGUUUUUUACGAUAUUGAGAAAGCAUUCACUCAAAAGCAAUCGUGUUUGAGUGUUUUCCUAGAUAUUGAGAUUUAGAGUGCUUUUGACAACGUCCCUUCCGAUGCCAUAGUGAAAGCCGCACGGAAUCAUGGUAUAUCUCCAAUUAUUUCCCGAUCGACAUCUCUUCUUGACAUUGCGUCAAGCAGCAAUUACGAAAUUUUGUGUUUGUGAAUGCCCUCAAGGGGGAGUCUUGUCAACACUUCUGUGGAAUCUUGUAGCUGAUACGUUAUUGAGGCAACUCAAUGAUAGCGGGUUUUCGACUGUGCUACUUUUUCCCGAUCGUCAGUUCCCCGCAUGUCGUUUACCCGAACGCCAGUUCGCCGAGUGUCCUUUUCCUCGAAAGCAUGUGGUCAAAGACUAGGGUAACGGUCGAAUUUUGGACCCCUAGAGGACAUUAAUUUGAAUGUAAGCUAAAAUCAAUCAGAUUCAGAGAGUAUUACACACAAUGAUGAUGUUGACAUGACCGUAAAAGCCUCCACUGUCCGUCAAAAAUACCCACAGUGUCAUUUCUGGCUGAAAAUUUGAUGAAAAUAAUUGACUUUUGAAGCACCAGUUUACACUGUUUUGGACACCCCAAUGUAUUUUGGACCCUCUUAAGUAUAUAUUUUGGACACUCGGCGUUUAAACCCGCUUGCGACUAGUUUCGAAGAAUCUGUCACUUGGAUAUGCUGGAUCACAACCUAAUUACUUGAUUGACAAAGGCUGAUUAGACGAACUUUGCGAAUUUAAUGCGCUAGGAUGAUAAACGUUUUUGUUUACAUCUGCAAGUUUGCCCAGUACCACUUUUUCUUUUCGUAAACAAGCAGCGACACUCGCACGGAUGACGAGAUUAACAAAACAUAAUUUCAAGGUAAAUAAUGAUAUUUCCAGUGAGGAAAUGAUUGCUGCUCGUGCAGAACAACCUAAUUUAGCGAAUGAUUCUAAAAAAUUUCGCCAUCUCUUCAUUAAAUCUGGGAAAAUUAUGAUAAUACGGCCCAGGGGGUCCAAAAUAUAUGGGGGUCCAAAUUAUAUUGGUUACCCUACUCGAUCAUUAAGAUAUCGUGAUCACCGCAACGGCACUUUUACUUGAAACAACUGAUUCAUUUUAUGGCUUUAUUUUCCUCAGAGUGUAAAGGAGUAGAGAUAUUAUUUUACUCAGAGUGUAAAGGAGUAGAGAUCAAAGUGCAUAAUGAAAUGAUAGAUGUGCUAGUAUUCGCUAGGUAGCGAACAAGUGUGAAAAUUUAUAGAAGGUGUAAUUAGGCAUGAAGGCCAUGUCUUGAACGAAUACAUCGAAUGCGUGAAGCCUUUCACGCAUUCAAGAUUAAUAGAGUUAAAGAAGGGUGCAUGUUGGGGUACAUAACAGAUUAUUCGGGAAAAUGAGUCAUUCAGAGAGAAGUACCAAUCGGGGAAACGUCAUUCGG